GCCUUCGCCACAGCAAUGUCCUAAGUCACUGUAAUAGAGCUCUUGGAGCUGCUUUAGAACCGUCAUCAUCAGGUAGAAAAAGCAACCCCAGCCUGGCUUAUUUUAAGGGUCACAAAAUACAGUUAGUUACUGUGACUUAUCCCUCAGAAUUGUUGGCUCUGGUAUUUUUCUCUGUCACAUUCAGAAUCUUACUUCCUUGGAAUGAGGAAGACAUGCCAGCAAGAGAUGGCUACAGAUGGUCUCGCACAGUCUGUAAAACACAAAAGCAAAACAAACAGCAGAAAGCCUGAGUCCAAAAGUCAGCUAGCGCCCAUUUCUGUGCUAAGGAACCACUCCGAACUGCAUGCCAGGUUGCUUGUGGCCAUUCCUCGGGGAGUUUGGUCUCAUUCAUGAUAUUUGACACACAAUGAAUUGGACCAAAGGCGUUUCUUUCAAAAGAUCAUUUCAACAGACAGGUGCAAAGCCUCAUUCCCUAUAGGUCUUUGGUCAGAAGGAUGACAAUGGACUUCUACACUCUCACAGGACUUGAGUGCAUGCAGCAGAUACCCUUGGCACAAUUCAUAUAGUAUGUGAUACCUCAACCUCAGAAAACCUGCCUUUGGAAGGUGCUGCCAGCUGAAUUCAUUGUAGCCACUGUGACCCUGAGCUGUCUGGCUCCUAGACCUUAAAUAGCCCUGAAUCUGAUACUUGGUCGUCCUUAUCAGAAAUCCUCACAGAGCCUCCUUAGUGAAGCAGGUGAAAAAUCAGAAAUAAGUAAUCAUGGGCAGAGUUUUCCAAAAUGGUUGGGAAAGCAGCCCUCUUAGGAGCAUAGCUCAGCCCCCACAUAAAAGUCCACCCUUGGAUAUAUAUAUAUAUUUCAAUAAGAAUUAUCUUGUGGUAGUUUUUCUUUCAACUUGAGUGAUUUAGAGUCACCUAGGAGAUUGAGACACACCUCCAGUGUGUCCAGGAGGUUAUAAACCAGCAUAGAAUAACUGAAUACUUACCCAGAACACGGGUGUACUCAUUAUCUGGGUUGGGGCCUUGGGUGGAGUAAGAGGGACAGGAGAUAGCCUGAAACUGCCAGCUUUCUCCUCUCUGUACAUCCCACUUCCUCAAGCACUCUGCCUUGCUUGCCCUCUCUACCAUGGACUGCAUCCUCUGAGAACAGCAAACAAAAUAUCUACUUCUUCCCUUCUGGUGUUUCUGGAAGGGCUUUUGCUUACCACACUAUGAAAGAAACUAAUAUUACUUAAUGUAUAAAUAAUACUUACAAGCCAAUUCAUAAGUGACCAACAAUCCAAUAAAACUAUAAUAAUUCUUUGAACAAAGAAUAUAGUAAGCAGGCAGUUUAUAGAAAAAUAAAUACAAAUGACGCAUAUAUAUGCACCAAGAAACUUAACUUCACCCACAAGUAAUGAAAAUGUAAAUUAAGAUGAUAGCAAAAUUUCAUUAUCCAAUAAAACAUAGCAAAACUGAAAAGGAUGUUAUGAGGCACUAGUUUGAUUGAGUUUGUGGGGAAAAAGCACACUGUCAGUUGGAUUAUGCCAUAAGGAAAUUUAUAGUAAUUACACCAAGUGAAAUGUAAGUAUAUCCUCAGUUGGAAAAUCGAGGACCAAGUUAUCUGCUAUGAAAAUAUCAUAGGAACAAAAGUGUAAUGAAUGCUAUCAUUUGCUGUAGAAAUCUGUACUACUGCACAUGCAGGAAAAGCAGGAUUUGGAACAUUUGCAGGAAAAUAAAUGCACAUUAGCUAAUGGGCAUGCAUUUUUUCUUCACACUCGAAUAUGAGUGGGCACUGUGCUGGUUGCUAAAGAGGAAGGAAGAACGGCAAAAAUAAAAUAACACAAGGACUAAGUGUAUGAACUAAGUGCAUUAAUCAUGAGAUCUUAGCACAACCACGAGAAAAGAGACGAAGGUGUAAUUAUCGGAGCAGGAACGAUGCCUUUUAAGUGCUUGCAGGUGGUAAAGAAAGAAAAACACCAGCUUGUAUUUAGGAAGGAAGCUGAAUAGAUGUGUGAAGUUUUAAAAUGUUCAUUAUAUCCAUAACUCAUUUGCAUAUGAAGAUAGAAAAUAUUUUAUCUUUAGAUGGUAGAAAAGAAAUUUGGCGUAGGGACAAGAGACUAAGUUGUUAAAAACCAUAGCAUUAGGGCUGGGGAGAUGGCUCAGCGUGAAGGCUGGAGUUCAGAUCCUUGCACCCUCGUAGACUUGGAGGCCACAUGUAAUCCUAGCACUGAGAAGGUAGAGACAGGGCACCCUGGGGCAAGCCGGCUAAUUAGACUGCUGGAAGCAGCAAGUUCCACCUUCUGUAAGAGAGUCCUCAAUAAAUAAAGUGGAGAGUGACCGAAGAAUAUACCCAAGGUGAACUCUCAACCUCUACAUGUGUGUGCACACAUAUGUAGUCUCACCUGAACACACAUAUACCCACACACGUUUGGAUACACAAGCACACAUUCAAGUACACUGUGCACAAAUACAAACACACAAAGAGAAGAAAAAUCACAGCCACAGAGGCAGGACGCCUUCAGAAAUACAUUUUAGUGGUGAAUGGGCUGAUGUAGUGACCAGAAACCAUGCUUCCCAGUUCCAGAGAGACUAUUCUGGAAAAUAAGGGAGUGUGGAGUUGUUACAAUGAACAAGGGUGGACAUAAAAGGGUGUGUGUGUGUAUAUAUAUAUAUAUAUGCUUUCCAAGUUCAAUUUCUAAUUUUUGAUGUAUGGGGCUUUCUCCUAUUAGAUGUCUCUAAUUUUUACAUGAUAAAGUGUUAAUGCUUUAUGCUGUGCGUGGGGUAUUUACAGCCUCCUCCAUUUGGAACAUGCUUUAUGAAUUAGAAUUAUGAAUCUGUAUUUCUCAUAAUGAUUUUGUUUUGAUGAUCAUAUCUGCAUAUUUGCUCCACUAUAAACUUCCUUUUGUGGGAGGAGACUGAUAAGAAACCAACUUUCUUUUUCCUCAGUGACUGGCUCAUUGCUCCAGCGCCAGUGAUUGACAUGUGUCCUUUAUUACAUUCUAAACUACCCUUUAUAGGCAAGCUAUUUCUCAACUCUGCAGCCUGUAACAAGAUCUGAUACUUCAUGAAACAGAAGCAAGUUCUGGGCUCUUCUGGAUGCACUGAACAGCAUACAAAACAAAUUUUCUCUCAUUUUUUCUUUCUUUUCUUUCCUUACAAUAGAUU
rnacentral:lncRNA from 1 species